GAAGCAGAAGGCAGAAGUAGGAGAAGCCGGCAGAAGGAGCAGGAGGGAGAAGCAUUGUUGAAAGGUUCCUGAAAUAAACUGCAAAAGGAAGAGCUCGUGUCAUCACGUCUUUCUUGCCGGAUGAGGCGGACGUAACACUCAUUUCCUAAGAAGGUAACAUGAAGAUUCUCUGCAUCCUAAGCUGGUCUUACACAGGCAGGAAGCUGCUACUGCCCCUCACAAUUGCCUUCAAACUGGAACAGAUCAACUAGUAUAUGCUAUAUAACCUGACUUGGAAAGUCAUCAGUGCUGAAGGAGACAUCAUCAACAGUGCCUGAAAGGUGGUACCAUUGGACUCUUGGUUCCCUGACUUACGAUUUAGUGGGGUACAUCUCUGACUGUAUAAAGUGGGGUCACCACACUGAAUUCAAUAUAUUUUAUGUGUGCCCUGAAGAAAAUAGCAGUAAGAGAAAAUGUGGAGGCCCUGGUGAAGCAUAUUGUGCUGGCUAGCACUGUGUAUCCACAGGCCACAUCUGGUGGUCCCCGCCUAUAGCCAAAGACAAAAUUAGACUUAGUGUCAAAAACUCUGUGGCUGAUCUGAGUUAUUAUACCUAUAAUGGGGGACAACCAAGAUAUCCAUAUAUAAAAAUUUCAUUCACUGAUUAUGCCAAAGGUACCGAUUGGAGCUCUGGAAGGAUCUGGAGACUGUAUGACCCAGGGGCCACAUAUGAUUACUCCACUACCUUUUCUAUAAAACUUGACUCUAAACCUAUCUCCUCCCCAUCCCGUAUGGGGCCUAAUAAGGUGCUGGUGCCCCAGCCAGCUCAACCUCGUCACUACUGACCCCAAUGUCACCCCGGUCAAAGUGGGGGCUACCCUUUCUCCUCCUCCUCAACAAUUUACUGAGGAGCCCUUGCUAGAUAUUCUAGAACAUACCUUCAACACACUCAAUAGCUCUAGAUCAGAGGUAACCAACUCCCGUUUGCUGUGCUAUAAUGCUCAACCCUCUUUUUAUGAAGGUAUUGCAGUCACAUAUCAGAAGACUACUCCUCCUGCAGAAGGCAACAGGAACCUCAUAAGCUGUCCCUUCAGACUAUCCAAGGGGAGGGAACCUACAUUAGCACCAUAACCCACACUCACACACACUUAUGCAACACCACCUUCAAUACCACAUCUGUGAGAAACAGCCAUGUUGUUCCUCCCAUUAAUACUUGGUGGGCCUGCUCAAAUGGGCUCACUCCUUGUGCUAGCACUCAUGUGUUAGGCCAAGAGUUCUGUGUCAUGGUUCAAUCAGUGCCUCAACUGACAUUACUCUGAAGAACAGUUUACUAAUUUUUGGGACCCUGUUUCAGAUCAAGCUCUGCUUAGAUCCAGGAGAAAACCCAUUACCAUAGUUACUGUAGCUGUCCUUUUGGGUUUUGGAUUGACUGGGGCAGGGAUGGGGAUUUCCCUGCUUGUUUUGACCAGCUCUGUUCUUCUAUAGAUUUGGAUAUAGAAAGAAUGGAAUCUGCUAUACUGCAUUUACAAAAGUCAUCAUUCUCUUUAGCUGAAGUAGUGCUAUAGAAUAGAAGAGGCUUAGAUCUUUUACUCCUCCAAGAGGGGAGAUUGUGUGCUGCCCUUAAAGAUGAGUGCUGCUUUUAUACCGACCAUUCAGGCAUUGUUCAGGAUUCUAUGAAAAAGGUCAUGGAGCGUCUAGAAAACUGCAAACACCAGAGUGACCAGGAACAGGGCUAGUUCAAGGCUUGGUUCAGUACCAAGUUGCCAUGGCUCACCACUUUACUCCCAUUCUUCUGGGGACGCCUAUUAGGGCUACUUAUUCUCUUGUCUCUUAAGCUCAUACUAUUCAACAAACUGAUGGCUUUUGUAUGAUGGCAGAUAGAUGCUAUUCAAAUGAAACCCAUACAGGUCCAUUAUCACAGGCUAGAAGUAGGGGUCUCUAAAACCUCUGUCAUUGAGACUGAUGAGGAAUAGCCCCUAACUUACGUGCUAAACCGGAUAGUCAAUGACGGGUAAGAGAGCAACUCAAGACCCUAAUUGGGAGGCCUCACCAACCUAAGACAGGAGGUCAACCAAAAAAAAAAAAAAUUGCUGUUGAGUAUCCAGAGACGGGUAAGGGAGGCUAGGGUCUGUUCCAACCUAAGACAGGCACGGUUUCUGUAAGUUUUCCUAGCCUUCCCUUUUGAAAAAAUUAAAAAGGGUGACCUGUUGGGAGCCGACUCCUAGCAAAAAGUGGCUAUCAUCUCUACAGUCAUCUCAGGCCAUUUACUUACAGGUUGGUACUUUUCCACCCUGACGAGAGACUUGUUUUCCUAGCAUGAUAUUUUUGCAAGCAGCCCACCACAGCUGAGCACACUCUGAUAACAUCCUGUUCUUCUCAGACACAUCCUGGAAUUUGUGGUUAAGCGUCUCCAGCUGCACUCCUCAGCUUGUGCUUAUAUAUACCUAUAGCUGCCUUUCAACAAACAAGACUUUAUCAGACAGGG